CAGAAACAGUGGGGACCCCGGAGUCAGGAGAUCACCCAGGAAUGUAGUGGAAUUGGAAGAUGCCAAAGUCAUUUCUGGAUUGCUGAAGUACUUUCUAGCUAUACUUUAGGACAGAGCUACUAAGAAGACAGCCGCUUUCUAGAGACACACUAGAACUCCACCGUGAAGCAUGCUGCACCCACGUUUCUACGUUCCAAACAGAGGGGUAAGAGGCUAUAGAUGGACGACAGCUACUAGACCAUCCGCACUCUCCGGAAACUUACUAGGGAUGCAAAUCCUGCACCGGGCCCAAACCUACUGCAUCCAAAACCGCAGAUUAUCAACAAUUCUGAAUUUGGCAUCAUGUGCAGACUUCAGCGAAGGACAUUUUCUGUCCCUGCAAGAUCAUAAUAGAGACAUCAGCUGUAGCAUCUUGGAAAGUUGUGAGGACACUUCUUCAUCUUAAAAGCAAAGAUGGCAAAGAGUUCCCUGCUACUAAGCAAUCCUCUCCCUGUUCGCUUGACUUCCUGGCCUUCCCAAGUGUCUGCUGAGAGGGAGCUCACCCCUUUAGCAGAAACUUGGCUGCAUGCUGCUUCUUGUCAUGUUUUCACUGUGUUAAAAUGAGUUUUCCUAAAUAAAAAAUAUAUUACUGGAUUGUGUUAAAUUGACCUGAAAAAUGUCAAAUAUUUCUAAAAAAUUGAAGUGCUGAUGUUUACGGAGCCAGGUAGGCAAAGAGCUGGGGAAUAAAAGAUUUUAUUAUUGAAAAACUGAU